rnacentral:rRNA from 1 species
AUGCAUGUCUAAGUGCAAGCCGUCCCGCACGGUGAAACUGCGAAAGGCUCAUUAAAUCAGUUAUGGUUCCUUAGAUCGUACCCACGUUACAUGGAUAACUGUGGUAAUUCUAGAGCUAAUACAUGCCAACAGAGCUCCGACCAGCGGCCGGGUCGCCGACGGCGGUUCGCCCGUCGUCGCGCCCGACGUUCGGAAGGAGCGCUUUUAUUAGAUCAAAACCGGCCAAGCGCGUCGUUCGCGCUUCGCGCGCGAACGCGCGUAAGUGGCCCGCGCAAAGACUUGACGACUCUGAAUAACUUCGAGCAGAUCGCACGGUCUCCGUACCGGCGACGAAUCUUUCAAAUGUCUGCCUUAUCAACUGUCGACGGUAGGUUCUACGCCUACCGUGGUGGUAACGGGUAACGGGGAAUCAGGGUUCGAUUCCGGAGAGGGAGCCUGAGAAACGGCUACCACAUCCAAGGAAGGCAGCAGGCGCGUAAAUUAUCC